ensembl:lncRNA
CGUUGUCACAGAGGCAGUAUUUCGUAUUUGUACCACUAGAUGGCGACGUUGCUACACAUACCCGAUGGUCCAGACUGACUAACUACUCUCUAACUUUUCCUACACACCACACACGCUAAACGAAUGAUGUAUAAUGUGAGCGAGGAAAGUGUAAAAAAACCGGAGGUGGGGGACAGUAAGGAGGAGGCGGAGGAGUAGAAGGUUGAUGAGGAGGAGCAGGAGGAGGAGGAGGAGGUGGAGCUGGACAGAAAAGGAGUUGGAGGGAAUGCCCUGAUGACAGCCCGGUCCGCCCACAACACACUGGAGAUGAGAGGCACUCGCUGGAAGCGUUCUGCUUCUUCCCCCACACAUCCCAACGUAGUGGCUUAUUUCCAUGCAGAAACAGUAAAACAAGUAUGGAGUAUGAAAGCCAUCCAUCUGCUCCGGGAAUUAAGAUGCUAGACAUGUAUUUGUUUGGAUAUGACAAGUGACAAGUGGAAAUCCUUGGCUGAGCGAUGUGCCUGAUAUGCACGGUUACUAUCAGGAUAUCACGUUGCAUAAAAUAUUGAAGAUCAUAAAUAAAACAUUUGAGUGUA